UACGAAGGGGGCUAGCGUUGUUCGGAAUUACUGGGCGUAAAGGGAGCGUAGGCGGACAUUUAAGUCAGGGGUGAAAUCCCGGGGCUCAACCUCGGAAUUGCCUUUGAUACUGGGUGUCUUGAGUAUGAGAGAGGUGUGUGGAACUCCGAGUGUAGAGGUGAAAUUCGUAGAUAUUCGGAAGAACACCAGUGGCGAAGGCGACACACUGGCUCAUUACUGACGCUGAGGCUCGAAAGCGUGGGGAGCAAACAGG
rnacentral:rRNA from 1 species